GUGUUGUAUGAAAGGAGAGUGGGUUAGCACUCCCCUUGCCAAGGAUGGGAGAGAUCCCUCCCCCAACCCCCCCCCCACCAAUCCCCCCCCUUCAUCCCCCACCCCCUGCCCCCACCUGACUGCAUGCAUAUGAUCAAGGCACUGCCACCUCAUGGUGGCUUCUAACUAAUCAUCUUU
ensembl:snRNA